rnacentral:rRNA from 1 species
AUUGAACGCUGGCGGCAGGCUUAACACAUGCAAGUCGAACGAGUGGCGGACGGGUGAGUAAUGUUUGGGGAUCUGGCCGAUGGAGGGGGAUAACUACUGGAAACUGUAGCUAAUACCGCAUACUAUAGGAUGAGCCCAAGUGGGAUUAGGUAGUUGGUGGGGUAAAGGCUCACCAAGCCGACGAUCUCUAGCUGGUCUGAGAGGAUGACCAGCCACACUGGGACUGAGACACGGCCCAGACUCCUACGGGAGGCAGCAGUGGGGAAUAUUGCACAAUGGGGGCAAGCCUGACGCAGCCAUGCCGCGUGUAUGAAGAAGGCCUUCGGGUUGUAAAGUACUUUCAGUAGGGAGGCGUUAACUACAGAAGAAGCACCGGCUAACUCCGUGCCAGCAGCCGCGGUAAUAC